GUGCCCGAACGGGGGUGUAUGCCCUUUAGCUACGGCGAGUGAGCGGCAAAAGCUCAAAUUUGAAAUCUGGUACCUUCGGUGCCCCCAGUUGUAAUUUGGAGAGGGCAACUUUGGGGCCGUUCCUUGUCUAUGUUCCUUGGAACAGGACGUCAUAGAGGGUGAGAAUCCCGUGUGGCGAGGAGUGCGGUUCUUUGUAAAGUGCCUUCGAAGAGUCGAGUUGUUUGGGAAUGCAGCUCUAAGUGGGUGGUAAAUUCCAUCUAAAGCUAAAUAUUGGCGAGAGACCGAUAGCGAACAAGUACAGUGAUGGAAAGAUGAAAAGAACUUUGAAAAGAGAGUGAAAAAGUACGUGAAAUUGUUGAAAGGGAAGGGCAUUUGAUCAGACAUGGUGUUUUGUGCCCUCUGCUCCUUGUGGGUAGGGGAAUCUCGCAUUUCACUGGGCCAGCAUCAGUUUUGGUGGCAGGAUAAAUCCAUAGGAAUGUAGCUUGCCUCGGUAAGUAUUAUAGCCUGUGGGAAUACUGCCAGCUGGGACUGAGGACUGCGACGUAAGUCAAGGAUGCUGGCAUAAUGGUUAUAUGCCGCCCGUCUUGAAACACGGACCA
rnacentral:rRNA from 1 species